rnacentral:tRNA from 1 species
GGGGUUGGGGCUCAGUGGUAGAGUGCUCACCUAGCACAUGUGAGGCCCUGGGUUCAAUCCUCAGCACCACCU